AACGUCAAACAAUCGGAACUUCUAACUCGUGAACAAAAUAAACAGCUGUAACAACUAUGAAAAUGUAAACAACAAAGAUCGGGCCCCGGUUCCGGACCCAGCGUACCCGCCCAACCAUGAGACGAUUACCUACACUCGUCUCCCUCAUUUUGUCCACUAAAUGGCUUUCAUUAGCCCGUGUCGACCAUCAUGCUCACUCUCCCCAACAAUACUACUUUAGCCGGACAUGCUUUCUUUCAAUAUGCGCGUAUAAUUGGUUGCGUUUUCUUAUAAUUUAUAACAAUUAUAAUCAUCGCUUAUGGCAUUUAUCUUUGCAGCUAUUUAGAAUCUCAUGCAAAUUUAUAUUUCGUUAACUUCACAGGUCUCUAUUCAGGUAAAUUCGUAUUCAUGCACGUGAACAUUUCUUCUCCAGAAUUAAUUUUUUUAUUUUUUUACAACACUGAAUGGAACAGGCGACGAAAUACUACAAGGAUAUUGCUAGUCGCCGCAAUAGAAACGCGCAAGGAGGCACUUUAGAGGCAAUCGUUGCGCCGAUUUAGGAACAAUGGCCCACACAAUUACUUAAAACUGGAGCUCUCUGGGGGUGGUAAGGGGCGAUAUAAAUGCG